CUUGUUGAUGAUUAGUGAGAACAAAGUUUGAGUGUAUAGAACACAAGGAGGAAGUUUGAAAGGCUAAUGGAACUUCAUCUCCAAGCCAGAACCAUCAAAGAUAGAUUUUUGGUAAGUACAAAAGCAAAGUGGAGUAGUGAGCGCUGGAGUCUACUUGUGGAUAUGUACA